GAUGCAGAACGUAGCGAAAUGCGAUAAGUAAUGUGAAUUGCAGAAUCCAGUGAAUCAUCGAAUCUUUGAACGCACAUUGCGCCCGCCAGCAUUCUGGCGGGCAUGCCUGUUCGAGCGUCAUUUCAACCCUCGACCUCCCUUUGGGGAAGUCGGCGUUGGGGACCGGCAGCACACCGCCGGCCCUGAAAUGGAGUGGCGGCCCGUCCGCGGCGACCUCUGCGUAGUAAUCCAACUCGCACCGGAACCCCGACGCGGCCACGCCGUAAAACACCCAACUUCUGAACGUUGACCUCGAAUCAGGUAGGACUACCCGCUGAACUUAAGCAUAUCAAUAAGCGGAGGA
rnacentral:misc_RNA from 1 species